GAAGGGCUUCAACUGAACUGCUAAUUCUCACAACUGAAACUAAAACCUCAGACCCUUC
rnacentral:tRNA from 1 species